UGAGGGUUUGUCUGCCUUGAAGCUGUCAGG
rnacentral:piRNA from 1 species